UACGUAGGAGACAAACGUUAUCCGGAGUUACUGGGCGUAAAGGGCGUGUAGGUGGUUUCGUAAGUCUGGCGUGAAAUUUUUCGGCUUAACCGGGAAAGGUCGUCGGAUACUGCGGGACUAGAGGACGGUAGAGGCGUGUGGAAUUCCGGGUGUAGUGGUGAAAUGCGUAGAGAUCCGGAGGAACACCAGUGGCGAAGGCGCUCAUCUGGCCCGAUACUGACGCUGAGGCGCGAAAGCUAGGGUAGCGAACGGG
rnacentral:rRNA from 1 species